UCUCCGCACAAAGCGGGUGGAGCCCGAAGC
rnacentral:sRNA from 1 species